AUUGAACGCUGGCGGCAUGCCUUACACAUGCAAGUCGAACGGCAGCAUGGGUGCUUGCAUCUGAUGGCGAGUGGCGAACGGGUGAGUAAUGCAUCGGAACGUACCCGGAAGUGGGGGAUAACGUAGCGAAAGUUACGCUAAUACCGCAUAUUCUGUGAGCAGGAAAGCGGGGGAUCGCAAGACCUCGCGCUUCCGGAGCGGCCGAUGUCGGAUUAGCUAGUUGGCGGGGUAAAGGCCCACCAAGGCAACGAUCCGUAGCGGGUCUGAGAGGAUGAUCCGCCACACUGGGACUGAGACACGGCCCAGACUCCUACGGGAGGCAGCAGUGGGGAAUUUUGGACAAUGGGCGCAAGCCUGAUCCAGCAAUGCCGCGUGUGUGAAGAAGGCCUGCGGGUUGUAAAGCACUUUCAGUGGGAAGAACAGGCCUGGGCUAAUACCCCAGGUGUCUGACGUUACCCACAGAAGAAGCACCGGCUAACUCCGUGCCAGCAGCCG
rnacentral:rRNA from 1 species